GCAGGAUGAAGCUCUCUCUGAAGCAUUCGGAUGUUGGCACUUUCCAGGUGCGAAUGCUGCAGUCCAUAAUGAACGUAUUUGCUUCCAGUAUCCUGCUCCCGCGUCUUAAUGCCAGGUUAGAUCAGGGCUUCCCUCUGCCGCUGCCGGACAGAAUACAGCUCUCCAAUAUCCUCGUGCGGUUUCACCAG